GGAAAAACCCCAAAAGGCUGGAGAGAAGGUCACCCAAAACUUGAUUUUUUUUGAGAAGUCUAAAGCCUGUAUUUGGUCCUGCAGCACAGAUGGCAUCGCUGCACUGCACUGAACUGGUUUUUCCCCAGACCAAGCCUUUCUUACAGAUACGGAUUUGUUGGCCAGAAGAGAUGAAGAAAGAAAUAUUUUUUCUUUGGUGGUGAACCCAUCCUGUGGUAUUAAUACAUUUGUAAUUUGUCUCAAGCAAAAAUUGCACCUCAAGAGUAGUUCAGGGAACUUACCAGAUUAGUACCUUAGCUGGUCCAGUCCCCAUCAGAGAAGGGCUAAAUUCAGCAUUAGCUUGCUCAGGGCUUCAUCCAGUUAAAUUUUGAAGGAAAAGUUGAGGAACAGAACUGAAAGUUUUGUUUGAAAGAGCCUGUAACUUAACAAAUAAAUAUGACAAUCCUCCAUAGUGUUAUAGAGACAGUGUUUAACAUUUGUGUUGGUCUGUUUCACCUUCCAGCUGAGCUGCCUGUGCUCAUCAGGAUCCUCUGCCUUGUAAGGAGAGCUCUGGCUGUAAUGUUCCUAUUGAGAAAACAAAACUCCUUCCUCAUUACCUGCCAUUCUGCCUCACUUUACACUUCCCUGAUGUAAAACUGAAAUGUUUGAAGAACUGUAAUUAUAUAAUACUUAUAAUUUAUACAUAUUAUUAAUUAUAAUUAUAUAUAUAUAUUAUAGCUGUAUAAUCCCAACAGUUACCCAUGACACUGGCUGUUUGUAAGGGCUGGCUUGGAUUUCAGCUGCCCUG